AAAAUUUCCAAGUAUAUAUAAAAGACCUACUUUGGUAUAGAUUGAUGGUUUAGAUAAUAUAUAAUAUAUAUUAAAUGACUAUUUUUAGUAUGGAUUGAUAGUCUUGAUUCAAUAAAGGCCCACGGGUCAUGAACUUCUUUUUCCGGAGAAGAAGCAAUGACAAUAUUCGGGGAAUAAGCAUCGGCUAACUCUGUGCUAGCAGUCGCGGUAAGAUAGAGGAUGCAAGCGUUAUCCGGAAUGAUUGGGCGUAAAGUGUCUGUAGGUGGCUUUUUAAGUUCGCCGUCAAAUCCCAGGGCUCAACCCUGGACAGGCGGUGGAAACUACCAAGCUGAAGUAGGGUAGGGGUAGAGGGAAUUUCCGGUGGUGCGGUGAAAUGCGUAGAGAUCGGAAAGAACACCAACGGCGAAAGCACUCUGCUGGGCCGACACUGACACUGAGAGACGAAAGCUAGGGGAGCGAAUGGGAUUAGAUACCCCAGUAGUCCUAGCCGUAAACGAUGGAUACUAGGCGUUGUGCGUAUCGACCCGUGCAAUGCUGUAGCUAACGCGUUAAGUAUCCCGCCU
rnacentral:rRNA from 1 species